GACGAACGCUGGCGGCGUGCUUAACACAUGCAAGUCGAACGGAAAGGCCCUGCUUUUGUGGGGUGCUCGAGUGGCGAACGGGUGAGUAACACGUGAGUAACCUGCCCUUGACUUUGGGAUAACUUCAGGAAACUGGGGCUAAUACCGGAUAGGAGCUCCUGCUGCAUGGUGGGGGUUGGAAAGUUUCGGCGGUUGGGUAUGGACUCGCGGCUUAUCAGCUUGUUGGUGGGGUAGUGGCUUACCAAGGCUUUGACGGGUAGCCGGCCUGAGAGGGUGACCGGCCAAAUUGGGACUGAGAUACGGACCAGACUCCUACGGGAGGCAGCAGUGGGGAAUAUUGCACAAUGGGCGGAAGCCUGAUGCAGAAACGCCGCGUGCGGGAUGACGGCCUUCGGGUUGUAAACCGCUUUCGCCUGUGACGAAGCGUGAGUGACGGUAAUGGGUAAAGAAGCACCGGCUAACUACGUG
rnacentral:rRNA from 1 species